UAUAAAAAAUGUUCUUUCUACUUUUAUUAGAUUAUUCAAUUUCAAAAUACAUAAAAAAAAUACAAAAAUAACAAAAGACAAAAAAAUAUAAUAAUAUCUUUUCUCUUAUAAUUAAAAUUAACGAUCCCUCAUCAAACUAUUUUGCUCUUGUGCAUUCAAAAAACUUUUUCAUAAAAGAAUAAUCUAUUCCAUUUAACAUGAAUACAAAUAACGGCUAAGCCUCCAUCGUACGAGCAGACAGACAAACGGUUAACCACUAAAAUGCGAUCUAACACUAUUAUCUA
rnacentral:lncRNA from 1 species